AACCAGUGAUUUUCCCGCCAAAA
rnacentral:siRNA from 1 species